GAUAGCCGAAAAUUCUGACAGGAUUUAGGUUUGGCUGUACUAGUCGUACCUUUUCUACUAGUGGAUCAUAAAUACCGCCUAAAGCUGUUGCUUUUAUCACUAAUAGUGCUGCUCCAAGUCCUAACAACACUAGAUGGAUACCUAGAAUUGUUGUCAUCUUAUUGCCAUCUUCCCA
rnacentral:antisense_RNA from 20 species